rnacentral:rRNA from 1 species
AGACGUCUACAUUAGAUACCCCUGUAGUCCCAGCCGUAAACUAUGCGCGUUAGGUGUAUCGGUGACCACGAGUUACCGAGGUGCCGAAGGGAAACCGUGAAACGUGCCGCCUGGGAAGUACGGUCGCAAGGCUGAAACUUAAAGGAAUUGCGGGGAGCACCACAACAGGUGGAGCCUGCGGUUUAAUUGGACUCAACGCCGGGAAGCUCACCGGAUAGGACAGCAGAAUGAUUGCCGGGCUGAAGACCCUGCAUGACUAGCUG